CCUACGGGGGGCAGCAGUGGGGAAUAUUGCACAAUGGGGGAAAGCCUGAUGCAGCAACGCCGCGUGGGUGAUGAAGGCUUUCGGGGCGUGAAGCUCUGUCCUCAGGGAAGAUAAUGACGGUACUUGACGAGGAAGCCCCGGCUAACUACGUGCCAGCAGCCGCGGUAAUACGUAGGGGGCUAGCGUUAUCCGGAUUUACUGGGCGUAAAGGGUGCGUAGGUGGCUUUUUAAGUCAGAGGUGAAAGGCUACGGCUCAACCGGAGUAAGCCUUUGAAACUGGGGUACUUGAGUGCAGGAGAGGAGAGUGGAAUUCCUAGUGUAGCGGUGAAAUGCGUAGAUAUUAGGAGGAACACCAGUGGCGAAGGCGGCUCUCUGGACUGUGACUGACACUGAGGCACGAAGGCGUGGGGAGCAAACAGGAUUAGAUACCCUGGUAGUC
rnacentral:rRNA from 1 species